GAAGAGUAACGAUCGCCAACCACCACCGAGCCUUCCACCGACGGCGACGACCACCACCGCUACUGGCCCACCACCACCACAGGCGACCACCGGCGCACCCCUCCCCUUUCGCCCACGUCUCUGUUUUUUGCCCCCACACAACACCCACAACCCAGUCGUCGUCGUCGUCCAACACCCACAACCCAAAUCCGUUUCAGUCUACGUUCACGAUUUGUGGUGGGUUUUCCGAUUUCAGUGGGUUUAUUGAGUUGUAUUUGGUCGAGUUGUAUUUGUCGACUGAUUUUCAAACCCUAAAGUCUCGUCUCUUCAGAUUCUUAGCUUAAUAUCGGUUUUGUUGCGCUAUGGUUAUGUAGAAAAGCUGGCUUGAUUCGGAGUUCCUUCAUUUCAAUUUGAUCUCUUCGUAUUUCUGCUCAAGGGAAUUCUCGGCAUAUACUCCUCCGAUGAGGAACACGGAUGGGUGUCAUCAGUUCUCAGUCUUUGCGUUCUGAGCCUCUGUGGUGCAUUUAGUUUCAGCUGCAAAUUAUGUGCCAGCUGAAGAUAUCCUACUUAACUGCGGGGCUUCUUUGCAAGCUAAAGAUACCGAUAAUCGCCAAUGGACUUCAGAUAUUGGGUCAAACAUUUUUUCUGCAGUUGGGAGUUCAUCUGUUUCUACUGUUGCUACCCAAGUCCCUCCGGUUCCUCAAUAUGCCCCUGGGCUUCAUCAAGAUAUGGGAAUUCUACUCCAUGGUCAGGUUUCGUUGACGUUUCAAGGAACAACAAAAGAGCCAUACCAUGUGAACUGAAUAAAGAAAGAUGGACUCAAUGUUAGAGCACAUGUGGAACAUUCAAUGAAUUCAAGAAAAAAAUUUCCCAAGGGCUAAUAUAAGGUAUUACUUCUGGUUUGGCUAACAAGAAAAAAACUUCACUUUGGAAUUACUUCCUAGCAAAUAAACAUUUAUGUCAUUGCAAUUGCGGUCCAUUCAUGGGUGAGCAGAUUAUUUGGGGUAUUGUAUGUUAUGUUGUUUGUCAUGUUCUAUUUCACUCCACCCCUUUCAUUUACAUGUUGAGUAUUUCAUAUUUGAGAAUAGGUUUGAUGGGGGAAAAAACUAAGAUAAUUUUUGGUGAUAGGGCUCCAUUGGAUGGUACAAAUGCUUGGCAUAAUCAUAGUCCUAGAGAGCUUCUUUAGUACUAACUCAUUUAGGGCUCGGCAUAGGAAUGUUAGUAAGGAUAAUUGCACGAUUCAUAUUUGACAAUAGGUCUGAUGGGGGAAAAAAUUAAGAUAAUUUUUGGUGAUAGGGCUCCAUUGGAUGGUACAAAUGCUUGGCAUAAUCAUAGUCCUAGAGAGCUCCUUUAGUACUGACUCAUUUAGGGCUCGGCAUAGGAAUGUUAGUAAGGAUAAUUGCACGAUAGUGCAGAAUUGAACUUGUUUACAAGUUCGAGUAUGUGAGUGCAAUUGCUACUUAUGUUAAAAUUAUUACCAUUGUGCAAGGCAUUAGUCCUGGAUUGAAAUGAUUUUUUUUUAAACUUAAACAUGGUGGUUUAAGGUAGGAGGACAAGAAACGCAUCCAGGGAAAAGAGUUGAACAUCUGCUCUCAUACUUGUAGAAGCUGCAAACAACCAAUAGUUAUUUCAUUUUAUUUGCUUCUCUUUUUCUUGUUCAAUAUUUUUGCUAUUUCCUGGUAUCCCCUCUAUGGAAUGGAUGCUGAUUGUAGUUGUAUGAGUUGAUUUUACAGCGAUUUAGUAGAAUGAAGAAAAUUCUGACCAACCAUCUCGAAUUGGCCUCGAAAGACUUUUUCAUAGACUGAAUUCUGUCGGCAUCAUUACUUUUAAAUUAGGAAAUUUUCGGUCUACCUAAUUUUUGGCUUCCUAAAAUCUUCAACUAAAAAAAGCUAAUAUUGUGAAUGUGAAGGACUACAACUUUGGAAUGAUUAUCUAGGGGGAGUUUUUCCUUUUUCUUUCUUCUAGCCCAUCUUUCCUUGAUUUACAUCAUGUUGCUUGUGCUAUUUGUAAGAAAUUGGUAGAUAAUUAGAAGUAUGUUGAUGUGUGUUGAAUGAGUCUGUCUUUUGUUUUAAAUAUGAGGACUUGAGGAGUCAAUUGUUAAUAUUUUGGCUAUCAGUAUUCUAGAA